AAUCUUUUAAAAAAAAAAAAAAAAGCAACUCACAAGAGCGGGGCCUCUCCUCACCAAAGGCACACAGCCACCCCGUGGUGCAGACUGGCCCGCCUCCCUGCAGCGGCUCCCGAAGGCCUGGUGAGGCCUGGCGAGCCCCGGGAGCAUCGGGAGCACCGAGAGCACUGGGAGCACCGGCCAGACCCCAGGCGUCCCGGCACCCAGGCUCGUGCUCCCUGUGGCCGCGAACCAGGGCCACUCCUCCGCCUCCGCUGUUUCCCUGGGGCAGGAAGCCUUCCAGGACCUUCUAAGCUCCUGUGUCUGCCUCCGUGGGAGCGGGGUCCCUACAACCCCUGGGGGGGGGCUGGUCGCUGCCAGCGGGUCCCCAGGUCUCCUCGGGCCUCCAGGUCUGCUCUGUGGGCCCCCAGGUCUGCUCGACCCCCAGGUCUCCUCAGGCUCCAGGUCUCCUCGGGCCCCCAGGUCUGCUCGACCCCCAGGUCUCCUCAGGCUCCAGGUCUCCUCAGGCCCCAGGUCUCCUCGGGCCCCCAGGUCUCCUCCUACCCCCAGGUCUCUUCCAACCCCCAGGUCUCCUCGGGCCCUCAGGUCUCCUCCAGCCCCCAGGUCUCUUCGGGCCCCCAGGUCUCCUACCACCAGGUCUCCUCCAGCCCCCAGGUCUCCUCGGGCCCCCUUGACACCCCCUCCCGCCCGUCUGCUGGCCGACCGCCCUGGUGCAGGAGUCGCGGCCCACCGCCCCUCUGAGUCACGGGUGUUGUUCCUCAGCCAGAGGAGGCUCAGGGGCCGUGUGGCCCUUUGUGCCAGCUCCUCUUUAAACAUCAUCUGCUUCUGAGCUGGCAGAGCUCCCCUGGAGAUGGAGGGGGAGCCGCUGCCCCGCAGCUGUGGCGGGCACAGGCAGCGCAGGGGCUGCUGUCAGAGGUGAGGCCGGCCCUAAAUACCGUAAAAACGGAGCCUCCAACUUCAAAGGAGUCCGGAUGUGGUCAAGGUCGGGCUGAGGAAGAGGAAGAAAGGGGGCCCAGAGGGAGCCUGUCUGCUUCCUCCUGAGCCCUCCGGGUUCCUCACCCGCCUCUGGGGACAAGCCGGAACCCCUGGCCGUCCCAAGGCCUCCCAACUCAGGCCCCAGUUUGACUUUCUGAGGCCUCGGACCUGCGCCGCACUGCCUGUGCCUCCAGCUCUCCGAGGAGCACGUUCUCCCGGUAGAUGGUCCUUUCCCUCCUUUCUGUCCUUCCUUGGGCCCGUUUCUGAUUCCACGCCCACCUGGAAACCUUUCUAGGCCCAGACCCCCAGAAAUAACCACGGUGGCUCUUCAUCGAGCACCUCCACAUGCCACUUGCUUCAGAAGCCGCAUCCCAUUCGGUUCCUUCAAUCAACUUGCAAGGCAAGUCGUCUCUAUUGAUCAUCUCUCUGGAGGGGACGGAAUUGGAUUUGAUGGGGGUGAAGUAAGUCUCCCGAGGUCAUUCAGCUACUAAAUGACAGAACAGCGGGUCUGGUCCAACUGGCUUCAAAGCCGCUGUUACGGUGUCGCGCUGCUGUUCCCACGCAUGUGUUCAUCUAUCCAUUCCCCCCGCCCCCAUCCAUCCAUCCAUCCAUCCAUCCAUCUGUCCAUCUGUCCAUCUGUCCAUCCAUCCAUCCGACCCAUCCUUUUGUUCCUCCCUCAAGUACCUACAUGAAGCAAGGCAGGCCUCUCCCUCUCCCAGAGUCCUGUGGCGCUCAGUGUCUGACCGCCCCCCCCCCCCCCAUGGCAGCCCAGUGUGGUGCUUCUUCUCUCCUAGUGUAGACAUUCCCUAGUGUAGUGUAGAGGUUGGAAAUGCUAAGGCCGGGGACCAGAUGUCCCUCAGAAAAUCUGCCGUAGCCCUUUGGCCAGACUGGAUGCUUGCUGACAACUGGCUAAUGACUGAACGUUUACUCUGCUUUUAUGGGCGGCUCAGAAUAGCCCUGUUCCCAGAGGACCAGGAGCCAGAGGCCAGGUCUUCGGGUGACCGGGGUGGGGGAAAGCCAUUCAAGAAGGGCCUCUGGCGGGAGUCCUGAGAACCCAAAAGAACCCCAGUCUAUACUCUUUCAAAAGCUUCUGACAGACACACUUCCUUCAAAAAAAAAAAAAAAAGUCUGCAGUGAGCAUGGAGCUUCAGCCUUGAGACGACAAUCACAGGAAAUGUGGUGUUCAGUUUCCUGGGCAACCGUAAUUCUUUGCUUUCCGUCUCGCCUGCCCCUUUCCAUGACGACGGGGUCUCCGGUAACCGGAACACACGCGCGCGCUGCUCUGCGGAGGGCCAGGCCGUGCUUCUCAAGCUCCCAGAGAUCCUGGGCCUCGUAGCACAAGGAAAAGGAAAUGAUAAAGUAGCACUUGUCUGCCCCUAACUGUGUUCCUGUUUAUAUAGACAGAUGAACCGACAGGCAGUCGUCCUAAGUCACGUAUGGUCAUGCGGGCACAGACGUGCCACGUGUCGCUGUGUUGACUGUAUGGUCCCACCACACCCCUGCCCCCGGCUUCUCCUCCCGGGCCCUGGUCCCCCUUCACGCAUUACUCACUCUGCACCGCAUGAUGAUCACCUGUGUACCCGAGGGCUUCCUCCACUAGACUGUGAGCUUUUGGAGGGCAGUAACCGUGUCAUCAUCGUCACGAUCACUGUCACCAUCGUCAUCAUGGUGAUAGGCGACAUUCUCAAAGCUGAGUGUGUGAUAGGCGUCGUCGUAACGGCUCCACAUGCAUUACUGGAAUCCAACCCAAGCGACCCUAUGAGGUAGGUGCCCCUGGCGUUCUCAGGGACCGGUUUGGGUUUUUUCACUCCCAGCCUGUAUAGUUUGGUGAAGUUUAUCUUGUUGUGAAAGUUUUUUAAAAAGAUAGAGAAAAAAAAAAAAAAGAGAGAGAGAGAGAGAUUCAGGAGAAAUAUUUUUCCCCCUCUAGUGCAAAAGAAGUUGUCAUCCCUGAAAUAGAGACUUUUUGAACUGAAUUGGCAAGAUCGCCAAUACAAAGUGAAAAUAAUAGCUGGAGGGGGCAGGGAGAUAAAAGAGACAGCCCGGGUGUGAAACUGCCUCUAACGGGCUCGGGCUGUGUGACCUUGGGCAAGUCCCCUCACCACCCAGAGCCUCAGCUUUACCACAGGUGAAGUGGGGGUGAUAAAAUGUGUCUCAUGGUGUUCUUGGGAAAGCUACGGGGAGUGUAGGCGCCGUGUCUAGCAUGGUGGGGACACGAAGUUGAUGUUUCGUAAAUUGUGGCCGUUAUCAUUGUUUUCAUGAUCCACACUCACCCUUUGACAUCACAGAGGAAUAAAAUCUGAGGUUUAGGCUGAAUUUCUAUCA
rnacentral:lncRNA from 12 species